GAUGAACGCUGGCGGCGUGCCUAAUACAUGCAAGUCGAGCGAACAGAUGAGGAGCUUGCUCCUCUGACGUUAGCGGCGGACGGGUGAGUAACACGUGGAUAACCUCCCUAUAAGACUGGGAUAACUUCGGGAAACCGGAGCUAAUACCGGAUAAUAUAUUGAACCGCAUUGUUCAAUAGUGAAAGACGGUUUUGCUGUCACUUAUAGAUGGAUCCGCUCCGCAUUAGCUAGUUGGUAAGGUAACGGCUUACCAAGGCAACGAUGCGUAGCCGACCUGAGAGGGUGAUCGGCCACACUAGAACUGAGACACGGUCCAGACUCCUACGGGAGGCAGCAGUAGGGAAUCUUCCGCAAUGGGCGAAAGCAUGACGGAGCAACGCCGCGUGAGUGAUGAAGGUCUUCGGAUCGUAAAACUCUGUUAUUAGGGAAGAACAAAUGUGUAAGUAACUAUGCACGUCUUGACGGUACCUAAUCAGAAAGCCACGGCUAACUACGUG
rnacentral:rRNA from 1 species